CAGUCAGGUAGGAUAAUCCUUACCUGUUCCUCCUUUUGGAGGGCAGAUUGUUAGCAUCUCUGCAUAAUCAGGAUUUGCAAGACCUUGAUUGUAAAAUAAA
rfam:Myotis lucifugus cont2.3419, whole genome shotgun sequence.